ensembl:snoRNA
CCUUUUCUUAGUGGAGCACAGGUAUGUGACUCUGGUCCCUGGAAUGUCAGAGGCACAAGGAAAGGGCUCCGGCCCCCUGGUGCCAUGUCUUCAGUACUGCUGGCUCCUCGUCAAUGGGUUCUAUCCUCAUGGGCUGGGACGCAG